CCUACGGGAGGCAGCAGUGGGGAAUUUUGGACAAUGGACGCAAGUCUGAUCCAGCCAUGCCGCGUGUGGGAAGAAGGCCUUCGGGUUGUAAACCACUUUUGUCAGGGAAGAAACGGCUCGGGUUAAUACCUUGGGCUAAUGACGGUACCUGAAGAAUAAGCACCGGCUAACUACGUGCCAGCAGCCGCGGUAAUACGUAGGGUGCAAGCGUUAAUCGGAAUUACUGGGCGUAAAGCGUGCGCAGGCGGUUAUGCAAGACAGAUGUGAAAUCCCCGGGCUCAACCUGGGAACUGCAUUUGUGACUGCAUGGCUAGAGUACGGUAGAGGGGGAUGGAAUUCCGCGUGUAGCAGUGAAAUGCGUAGAUAUGCGGAGGAACACCGAUGGCGAAGGCAAUCCCCUGGACCUGUACUGACGCUCAUGCACGAAAGCGUGGGGAGCAAACAGGAUUAGAUACCCUGGUAGUCCACGCCCUAAACGAUGUCAACUGGUUGUUGGGAGGGUUUCUUCUCAGUAACGUAGCUAACGCGUGAAGUUGACCGCCUGGGGAGUACGGCCGCAAGGUUGAAACUUAAAUGAAUUGACGGCUGAGAGNGCGAGACGACGACGAGGGAGGAGG
rnacentral:rRNA from 1 species